GAUGAACGCUAGCUACAGGCUUAACACAUGCAAGUCGAGGGGAAACGACAUCGAAAGCUUGCUUUUGAUGGGCGUCGACCGGCGCACGGGUGAGUAACGCGUAUCCAACCUGCCCACCACUUGGGGAUAACCUUGCGAAAGUAAGACUAAUACCCAAUGAUAUCUCUAGAAGACAUCUGAAAGAGAUUAAAGAUUUAUCGGUGAUGGAUGGGGAUGCGUCUGAUUAGCUUGUUGGCGGGGUAACGGCCCACCAAGGCAACGAUCAGUAGGGGUUCUGAGAGGAAGGUCCCCAACAUUGGAACUGAGACACGGUCCAAACUCCUACGGGAGGCAGCAGUGAGGAAUAUUGGUCAAUGGACGAGAGUCUGAACCAGCCAAGUAGCGUGCAGGAAGACGGCCCUAUGGGUUGUAAACUGCUUUUAUAAGGGAAUAAAGUGAGUCUCGUGAGACUUUUUGCAUGUACCUUAUGAAUAAGGACCGGCUAAUUCCGUG
rnacentral:rRNA from 1 species